GAUGCAGGCACACAUAAUAAAGACACGAAUAGCCAUAGCAUUAAUCUCACCAUCAUUUUUAUGAGAAAGCAACCAAAAACCAGGUUUCUCUUGUAAUGGAAGGAUUAGUAUGGAAAGCCAAGUUGAAGCCGACAUUAGAUGUUGUCAUCUUCAUAAUAACCGCGCGUGGUAGCGUGAGUAGCGCAACACCCUUCCAUUGAAGCAGCGGGAAACAAACAAAAGUGGCCACAUCUCUAACAAAAACGCAUCAAAAAUGAAAUCACGGACAACUGUAAGGGAGUAGGAGAACUUAUAAAUUGCCUACAUUAAUUCCAGGGACUUUUCAAAGCAACAAAUUGAGGAAAUGUCAGAUUUUCAAGGCUGCACCUGUGCUUGGCUAUCACCCUCCACACAGAGGAUGUCUCUACCACCACCCCAGCCCUGCUACAGGACAACUGCUCGUGAUAGAGGUCCUUGGUGUUUUCUGGGGGAAGCCUCAUGUCGAACCAGGUAAGACACACACCGUCUGAGUUCAAGGGUUAGAAUCGUCCAUGUAAUUGGAGUGACAAGCUGCUACCACAGCUGGAACAUCAAUGUAUCUCUGCAAUUCUGUGUAUCUAGAAUGUCUCUGUCUAUAGUUUCUUAAACUUUUUCAGCCUGGGACCCAAAUUCGAAAUUCUGUGUUUUCCUGGGACCCAAACUUAUGAAAACAUGCAACUAUAUUUCAAGUACAUGUCAUUGCCCUUAUGCCAGCCUAAAACAAAUGCAAUAUAGACAAA
rnacentral:lncRNA from 13 species